CCUUGUAUCUGAAUCUUUAUGCAUAUACAUCCAACUUCGCAACUCAUAGAUAUUGCCAUCAGAUGCAAUUUUUUGGUUUUCUCUCUUCAAGUGUUUUCUAGUUUUAUUUUUUGUGUGUGUGUUCAUUAUGAAGAUAGAGUGGCAUAUUUAUAGAAUUUUCUCGAGUUGUUAAGGUGAAAUUUUAACAACAAAUUAAUAACAAAUGGGUUUUCCAAAUCUUUUACAAGGGUAUAACAACUAAUUUUCGACGAUUUUUUUUUUGUACACCACCAAGCACACACAUAGUAAACAUGUUUUCACAUACCAUCUAACUUAUAUUCGUUGAUUUUUCAUUAAUAUGUUGUAAAGUAGUUGGCCGUAAAUUACUCUUUAUAAAGCAACAAAAUUACGACGAAUGACAUAAGUCCUUGUUAAAGUGCCGUAACGUUACUUAAAUGUUAUGAUGAAUUAUUUAUGUAGGCAACUUACGACUCAAUUACGAUGAAUUGUUUUUCAUAAAAUUUUAGUAAAUUUAACAUAACGUAAUGAUGAUAAUUUUUCAUCGUUAAUUGCAUAUUUUCUUAUAAUAUAGUUUAUUAGUCCAGGUGGCUUUGGCAUCCAUUCUUUAAGGGUUGGUUUGGCAUAAAAGCUUUGGCUCUUAUUGGCAUGUAGAAAAUUUACAUUUACAAAUUAUUGUUAUUGUUAAUGCUUCUUAAUUACUAUGUCUGCUUUAAUUUAUUUGAUUGUUAGAAAAAACUUUGCAUAGUAUAUUAUCAUUCCACUAUUAUAGAUAAAAAUGUAUACCACUACUUCAUUGAUUUACUCCUUUUGAAUUAACAGAAACUUCAGAAAAACAUUUCUCCCAAAAUAUUGAAAUAAAUAAUGUAUUAUAAGGUUAUAAUGGGAUUUUUAUUUGCUUAUUUAAUUAGUGUGUAAAAUCCUAAACACCAGAUAAAUUGAAAAUGGAAAAAUGAUGAUUUUUUUUAGUACAAGACAUUAGUUUAAAAGUGAUUGGAAUUGUGUGGAUGGGAUGGUUUAAACCUUAUGUAUCAUCUAUAUCACAUUUUUUUCAUUUUACAAACAACUAAAAUAUGUAUAUAUGGUAGGUCUGGACAUUCGGACCAGUCGGAUUCAGAUCAGGUAUGGUCUAUUUGGAUCAGGGUUUCUAGCUCUGGGCUACUUGGGUCAGUUCCUUUGGAUAGAGGAAUUUUGGACCUGACCAGGUACUUGUAAAUAUUUUGUUCGGUUUUGAGUAAAAUAUUUCCGGUCGGUUCCAGUUGGAAUUUUUGGGUCCAGAUAAAAUGCAUAGGGCUAUUGAAUUGGAUAUUAAAAUAUAGAAAAUAAAAGUAUAAUUUAUAUAUUAAAAAAAUAUUAAUGCUUCUGAAAACAAUGAAACAAAAGAAAAAAACAAGAGAAAAAUGUCGACUGGACAAUAAUUAAAAUAAAUAAGAAAAUGGAUGAGAAAUUCCUAAGAAAGAGAGAAAUGAGAAAAUGAAAUAAAAGUUAGUAUUUUGAAAUGUAUUUUUUAACUUUAAAAAAAAGUGCUUCAAUAAUUUUCAAGUGCCUCAAAAUGUAAAACAUAGGUUAUAAAGUGUCUAAGAAUAUAAACCCAUCUACUCCUUUAGUUAAGUAGCAAUGGAGUGGUUUAGACUAGAAAUGUUGAAAUUAAAUAGGUAUAGUAUAUUUGAACUUGAUGGAUUUUGAUAUAAAUUGUAUACAAAAUAAAAUAAAGAAAAGGCAUAAGAAGUCUAUUCUUAUCUCUCAGUCCCUCGCUGGUAAGGAGAGGCUCACAUAUCAUUCACUUUGUAUUAUAUCACAAUAGAGUGGUCCUCUAAAGUUUGUAUAUGCAACUUGCUCAGCUAAAUAUCUCUCUCUCUCUCUCCCCCCCCCCCCCCCCCCCCCCCACAAUUCUCUUAAGUUGAGUUCGUGAGUAGAAAUUGGAGAAGGAAAACAUGAAGAUCCUGGUUAUAUUUUUCCACAGCUUUCUUGAACUUUCUUUUUCAUUUCCCUUAUUUUAGAGCCAAAAUAACUAAAAAUCUCUAACAUUUAACACUCUAGAAAAAAAAAAGCUCAAGAAAGCUGUGGGAAAACAUGACAAUUCAGGGUUUUCUUCAUUGAUUCAAGUGUCAGGUUCUUUUAAAGGCACUAAUUUUUCAUAAUUUGAAGGUUUCCCCUUAAACCAUUAUGAUAUUAUACUCUUUGAAAUGUCUGUAUAUGAAUAUGAGGAACGAAUCUUCUCUGAAUUUUGUUUUUGGAGUUGAUCUGAAUUGCUUUCAACAAAGAAGAAGAAGAAAGCUUCCGUGGUUUCCUGUUCUGUAUAGAUGAGCUUUGUACAUUUCUGUUGAUAAAAGUUUUACCUGACGUCAUUCUAACUACUCCACCUCAUAAGUAAUGUAUGAUGGUUACUGCUUUUGGGGUCAAUUUGAUAUGUAUGCACAUGUCCUCCCAUGUGAUUUGUCUUUUCAUUUACAUAUAAACGUAUCGUUGUAUAUACUAGUAUAAGCGCGGGUGUUUUUAUUAUUCGCAUAUGAUACUUGCACAACAUCCAAACUGUGUAUACCUGAUCAUAUGAUACUUGGACAUCAUCAAAAUUGUGUGUAAAUACCUCCUGUAUACGUGUAAUCAGAUGUAGAAUUGUACAUAAAUACAUAUAUGUGCAUGCAUUACAUAGAUGCACUAAGAAAUGGGCCUUUCACGAAGAGAAGGAAUUGUCAAUGUAAUUUAAACUUGAACUCCCUUUUCCUUUAAUCAAACUAAAAUGGGAAAACUUCAUAAAUAUAUUAUAUACCCCCAAUAAAGUUUUUGAUAUCUAAACAUUUUUACUAUCAAGUUUAAUACUAAAACUCAAGUUAAAACUUACAUUCCAAAGCUUAAGAAUAUCCAAAAUUUAAUUACUUUUAUGUCUAAAACUUAUAAUUAAAUUAGAAAUUUAUAAUUUUUCGUGAACUUUGGAUAAAAUAUACGAGGGAAAAAUAAAAAGAUGUUGAAAAAUAAGUUUGGUAAACAGUUAAAAAUAUAUAAGGGCAAAAACUGAUAAGCUGAACAUGAGGCAUGAGUAGUAUAUUUUUUUAACAGUUACAUCGUACUUGAUUCCGAGAUUGUUUCUUACACAUGUGUAAAAAGGAAUACUGAUAAUAACUGAAGAAUGAGAUCUUAAUUAUGUAUAGUGAUUAUGAAUUAUUCAAAAUGGUAUAGGGUUUUUGUCCUUUUACUUAUUUAUGAUAAAACCAGAUCUGAGGGUGAUCGCGUUGUUGUGGGUCUUGUUUGUUUUUCACUGAUUCCAAAACAUUUUGACGUGGAAAUUGUUUGAUUGGCUAAUAGAAAGGAUAUGUGAGGGAGAGAGAAGAUGGCCAACGCCUUGAAAGUGAAGCUUUUGUCAGUUUAUGAUCAGUAAGGGAACCUAUAGAUUCCGAUUUCCUUCUUGGAUCGACGUAACAUUCACUUUAUUCAAUAUUCAUUUAGAACGUUGAUGCUCGAAUGUUACUUACGGAAAGGUUAGCAUUGGGAAUUCAUAUGUAUCACAAGAAGAAAUAGCCUUCCUAAACAAUUGGUGAUAUGGCACGCUAGGCAUUAGGGUAAUUCGAAGGACUUCAGGAUCGCAAAUUGCUAGGACUUUAAAAACCCAAAACAAAACAAAACGUGACAACAAUGGAUGUAUGCUUUAUUUUGUUAAAUAACACAAAUCAUCGAAAUUGAUCUUCACAAAAAUGUGAUUGUGCAAUACACUAGGCAUUAGAGCAAUUCUUUAAAAUUCAAGAUCGUAAUCAGAGAAUCGAAACAGAUAAAUCAUUAAAAACUAUUUUCACAUUAGAUCUGUUCUUUUGCGGGACGCAGCGUCGGCGGCGAAAACCAAAAUCUAAUGAACAAAACAGAGAAAUGUAAAUGCAGCUUCCUUAUAUAUUUAGUGCCGGCGACUGUCGCAAGUAAUCUUUUCGGUGUUUUCUUUGCUGCUGUCUCCCGUGCAAUCUUGACGUGUGGCUUGCGUCAAUCUUUGAACUCUGUAUUUUAAUUUAUUGCUGACAUGUCUUUUUAAAUUUUUCUAUAUUUUAGUGACGCACUGCGUCCGGCAAAAGAACAUGGCUAUUAGCUCUGUUCUUUUACAAGACGCUGCGUCAGCGGCUUGCGGCCAAUUAUACAACUGAUUUCUUGUUCACGCAUCUAGAGGAGUAACACCGGCAGCAGUGUUUUUGCCUAUCAAAAUAGAUGCAGCUUUCAUUUAGUUGCCGUUACUUUUAACAUCGUCUGUGACAGCACCGGAAACCUUCGCAAAAGUAAUUGCAGCGUCAGCUUGAAUAAUUUUUCACCAUCUUUUUGUUUAUUUGAUGUUUAGUUUUUGGCCGCAAGCCGCUGCAUCCGCGUCUUCGAAAAGAACAGAGCUAUUGUAAUACUGAAUGAAACAUGUAAGAUUCGUACAUAGGAGGGGCUAUGAGUCCAUAGUUUGGUGACUAGGAUUUCAAGGUUUUCCGUUUCUCUAAGGCAGCUUGCUGGCGCCGCCUAAGGGUUUCCGAUGGAGGUUCCAGGUAACUCAGAAUUAUUAGAGCAUGUCUAUGGCAGUCUCUUAAGACCAUCUCCAAUAGUUUCCCUCAUUUUUUUCUCAAAAUGAUGUAAACUCAUAAUGAAGUUGUGAUUUGCUCCAAUGGUUCCCCUCAUUUUCUCCCUCAAUUCUUAUUAUAUUCAUUUUUCAACUUUUUAUUUAUUGCAAAUAACACCUUUUAUUUUAUAAGAUUUUAGACUAUACUCAUUUAUUUUUAAAUUCUACAAUUUAACCAAACUUUAGCUUAUAAAAAACAAAUAUUUAUUACAUUAAUAAAGUUACAUAACAACAUACAAAGUAAUUGUAGAAUUUUACUUAAACAAUACUAUUAUUAUAUUUUUUCCACUUUGUAUUAGUUAUAUAUCUCGAUGGUAUUGUUUUCUAUUUUAUUUUCUUUUAAUUAUAUAUUAUAAUUUAUAAAAUUAUAAGUUAUAUUUUAAUAACUAAUUAUUAGUAAUUAUAUUUUAAAAAGUUUAAUUAGUAUAUACAUAUUGGAUAUAAAGUUAUAAAAAUUAUGUUUAAUAUUAAUGUUUUGUUUAUGCAUAAAAUAAAGAUUGUCAAAAGUAAAGAACUAUUAUGUAAAUAAAAAAAGCUUGACAUCAAAAUGAGGCUGUGAAUAGUGUUCCCUCAAAUUUGAGGGAAUACUGUUCAUAUCCCCAUUUUUUUCCCUCAACAUGAAGUACCAUUGGAGAUGGAUUUCCUUCAUUUUUGAUAUUUUUCUUCAUUUUGAUGCACUAUUGGAGAUGCUCUAAAUCUUGUUUAGGGUAUUUUGUAAUUAAAAAAAAAAAAAAACUAAUUACUUAAGGCACAACUCCUAAUUAAGGGUUUAAAAAACUGACUCUUGCUUAACACGUGUAGGAAGGGGAUUGGAAUUGUGAUUUUGGGAGAAGAGGAAAAGACGCAGUCGACGAAGUCUUCGACGUCUCCGAACUCUAUGUUCUCUCAUGGAUUCAAUUCCUGCUUUCUUCUUCUUCUUCUUCUUCUUCUUCUUCUUCUGUGUUUAUGAGACCUCAACGCUUGAGUCCCUCUCUCUUGCUCUCUCUUCUUUAACCUUUACACAACUCUGAUUAUCAAUUUCUCCUGCGCGCUCGUGAUUUCUUCUUCACUAUUUUGCAAUUUGCUAUUAAAAUCUGAAUUUAUUGGGUAAGCGAAAGCCGGAAGAUGGUUUGGGAACCGAACCGUUUCUGAAGAUAGAUAAAGAAAAAUUUGAGGAGAUGGAGAUCGAAGCAAGGGUUGAGUUGUUGUCUGAUGAGGCUAAUUUUCUGUGACAGUGGAGACCGAACCUAUUCUGAAGGGAAUUAGGGAGGAGAAGGAGACAGCGAAAGGAUUUUCUGAUGAGAUCAAAGGAAGGGUAGAAUUGUUGGAGAAUGAGGCUAAUUUAAUCUCAGUGGAAGGACUUGAUGAAGGUCCUGAGGAAGCUGCCGUAAGUAUAUUUUAAUGUUUGUUGUAUAUUUUAAUUCAAUUAAGAAUCUUCUUGUCAUCUCAAAAUCUUGUUCCAAUUGCUAACAGGAGACCUCUUCUUGUAUGCAAUUGAAGAAGGCAUUUACCACUUUUUUUAAUUCAAAUAAAAGUAAAAUUUUCAAGUUGCUUUGGUUUAAGUUGUAUCUUUGUUGUUUUGUUUCUGCUUAAGUAAAUUGAGUUUAAGUUUAAGUUUCUGUUUGUUUAAGUUCUGUGUUUGUUGUUCUGGUUAUGUAAUGUUUCUCUUCAGAAGUGUAUUCUGUUUCUCUUUAUGUUUCUGUUUCAAAAGCAUUGGGAGGGAGAAGAUGAAGCUUCUGUUUCGGUUUCUGUUUCAGAAGCAGAUGAGUCUUGGACGCAAAGCAAACCAGGUCUUGUAUUCACGACAAAGAGGUCAGGUCUUGUAUUCAUAUAUCAGGAUCACUCUCUCUUCAAAGAACGUCAAGAAUGGCUCGGGAAAGGUGUGUGUUUCGAUGAUCUUAACCUUGUGUCUGUUGUAGUCUUGUGUGUGUGUUGUAGUCUAGUGUCAAUAAAAACAUGUUUAAUAAAUUUUCUUUUUAAGAACUCUUACCUUAAGAAACUACCAAUGAAGGACUAAUUUUAGGUGUUU